rnacentral:lncRNA from 1 species
UUAUUUUCCUUCAAAGGAAAUAAUUAAAAUUCAGUCUAUUUUUGGAUCUGGAGUGUCAUUGUAAUUCACAUUCGCUAAUUUUGGCAAGCAGUCUCCUACUGUUAUGAUUUUCCAUUUCCUUACUUGGUACUUUCUGACAUGAGAAACAGAGGGAAAGUUUUGAUAUUAAGUAAAUGUGUUCUUCAGUCACAUGUACAGCAGCAAAUAAUCAGUGGAACUUUUAGAUAAAUGAAGGCUUCAUAAUCGGACUUGACUUGAUCUACUAUAACAGAUGAAAAAUGAAGCAAUAUAAGGUUGAUGACAUAGAAGACUUAAUUUCCUCCUCAUGAUUAAUCUCUCAGUUGGAGAGUAUACACACUCUUACACAGAAUCCAGGACGAAAGCCCUCAUCAGAUGCUUACAUCAUGAUCUUGGACUUCCCAGCCUCCAGACUGAUGCUAUGGAAGAUCAGAAAAUAUAAAUUUAUGAACUGCUAUAAACUGUUAUUUUCUUCGUGAAGAUCAGCACAACAAGAUGUUCCAGACUUAUUCAACAUAUUGUCCAGCCAGUCCUGGAAACAAUCAGUUCCCUGAGGACAGAAUUAAAGUUUAGAGACCUGAAUCUGGGCCCCAGGGGUGGUCAUUACUACUGGUUUGCCACUGCUUCUGUAGCUUUUCAGUGAAGAGGUAGUUAUGUAAUAUGUAUCUAAAAAAAUAAAUUCAAGUUAUGUAUUUUAAAAAUAAAUUCAAGGUCUAUAUAUUUUAGAAAAAGGAAAAAUCAUGUGUUCAUGUUAAUAUUUAUAUUUAAAUAUAUAAUUACAUGUCUUAAUUUAUGUUGUUCUA